rnacentral:lncRNA from 1 species
CAAGUAUACAUGAUCAAUAUGUCGGGAUUGUUUAAACGAUUAAGCUAAAAUCAUUGCACGAUUAAUUUCAGAUCUGAAAUGAGAUUAUUAAUUAAGUUCUAAACUCAACUAAUCUAACACCCAACUAAUCUUCGAAUGCCCAUCGAAUAGGCUCGGAAGAUUACUCUGUGAAGAGCCCCAAAAGAGGUUUAACCCUCGGGGAUUGAAACCUAUAAGAUAUAUCUUUGGACCUAGAUUUAUACGGAUUAUACCUUUAUGAAAUCUGAAAGUAACGGAUCUGAUGCUCGAGCUUCGUAGCCACACACUCGUCUGGCCUCUACAAGUAAUCCACACGAAGCUCCUGGAGUGAUCCAAUCCCGCGGAAGUGCUAGCUUGCGCAGGAUCUUCCUUUGCUGAAUUUUGAUCUUUCCAACGCUAUCAACUUUUGGUUCGCCUUCUUGGAAGAACUUGGAGGAAUGGUUAGUAGGGAUUGAAGAGGACUUAGAUCUGAUCUAAAGGCUCUUAUCUGGGAUCCCUAUCAGCUAUGGCGAGAUGGACUCAGAGGAAGAUGAAAAUGGGCGAGAUGGAAGGCUGAAUUUCAUUCACAAAAUUUCAUUUCUUUUUUAGCCACAAUUGGAACUCUUCUUUUAAGCCAUCUGAUCAUUUGAAUUCGAAAUUCAAAUGGAAAUUUGGUAUCUUGUUGGCGCAUGAAGGUGUUGGUUGUAACAAGAUAGUUCUUAUCUUGUUUGAACUCAAAAUUAAAACAAUAGAUGGUUCAUGCAGGUGAGAUAGGAUCGAAAUAGAUGGUGCUGAUAUUCCAUCAUCAUCUAACCAUUCUCCCACGUCCCACGAUCCAAAUCCCUUCACUUUUCAUUGAAAAUCCACGCCCGGAUCGAAUCCCCCGAAUUCAGCCCGUCCACGAGUUUCAGGAUUUUCAGAAGGAGCCGACCUUCCCGAUCUCGAGUCGACUCCAAGUCGCCUCGAGUCGACUCCAAGUCGCCUCGAGUCGACUCCUUCCCCUUCGAGUCGACUCCAAAGUCGACCCGAGUCGACCCCAUAGCUUCGCAGGUCAACCCUGGCUGAGACGACAGAGAACUCCUGAUACCCCCAACGAG